GACAGAGGUGCCGAGCGUUAGGCGGAAUCACUGGGCUUAAAGCGUGUGUAGGCGGCCUUGUAAGUACCUUGUGAAAUCCCACAGCUCAACUGUGGAACUGCUUGGUAUACUGCUUGUCUUGAGCCACUUAGGGGCAGUCGGAACAGACGGUGGAGCGGUGAAAUGCGUAGAUAUCGGAAGGAACAUCAGUGGCGAAAGCGACUUCCUGGACCAGUACCGACGUUCAGGCACGAAAGCGUGGGGAGCAAACAGG
rnacentral:rRNA from 1 species